UACGGAGGGAGCUAGCGUUGUUCGGAAUUACUGGGCGUAAAGGGUCUGUAGGUGGCCAACUAAGUCAGACGUGAAAUCCCUCAGCUUAACUGGGGAACUGCGUCUGAUACUGGAUGGCUCGAGUGUGGGAGAGGAAUGCGGAAUUCCAGGUGUAGCGGUGAAAUGCGUAGAUAUCUGGAGGAACACCGGUGGCGAAGGCGGCAUUCUGGACCAUAACUGACACUGAGAGACGAAAGCCAGGGGAGCAAACGGG
rnacentral:rRNA from 1 species